UGUUGGGGUUGAUCUUCAACAAACUCCAACAGAUGACCAUCCGCCGCAGCUACAAGAGCUGCCCUUCUCUCUCCCACCGUACCCUUCGAAUGAUCAUGGACGCGACGCGAUCGAAGCGACGAACGGAUGCAACAAAACGGCGAUCGUAAAGCACAUCGACUCAACUCAGAUCACUUUGCCACCGUCCCACCUGACGCUUCUCAACUACCAUCUCAACCGGAUGAAACAGUUACAUGAAGCCAGAUCCAAAUGCUCCUCCUAAGCGUGGCCGUGGCCGUCCUCCUAAACCGAAACCCGAGGGAGAUUCAAGCCACGUGGCGGUGGUCCCAGCUCCCACACCAAGGCCUAGAGGUCGUCCUCCGGAUUCUUAGUCGGAGCUGGACUCGACUGAGGAGAAAACAAAGGCACCCACGACCACCGAAGAAGCAGAAGACCGAUUCAGAGACGGUUAAAGAUGCGGCGACGGGUGAAGCUAAUAACGGUGAGCGUCGAGGGCGUGGAAGGCCAUAACAUGUGAUGGUGCCUGCUGGUUGUUAGAGUUACUCUCCAGCUUACGUUUUGAUUAGAAACUUUUUUGUGUUAUUUUAAUUAUGGGGAUUAAGUAGAGAAAAAUGACAAGUUUGAGAAUGUAAUUCGACUUUGCAUGUGUUUGUUCAUGUAUAAAGUUUGGGUCUUUUUCA